AUGCUGGGACCCAGGGAGGGGACGUCGGGCGAGGAGCUGGGGGAGCGAUGGGGGGACCUUGGGGGUGACUCAAUUGUCUCCUUCCUCUCUCCCUCCCCAGGGCUGCGGGCGGCCGUGGAGCUGACGGAGUCCGGAGGGGGCCUCGUGACACCCGGGGGGUCCCUCACCCUCCGCUGCAAGGCCUCCGGCUUCGAUUUCAGCAACACCGGCAUGGGAUGGAUGCGACAGGCACCUGGGAAGGGUCUCCAGGGUGUUGCAGGGAUUAACUUCAAUGCUGGUUACAGCUGGUACGCGCCGUCGGUGAAGGGUCGCUUCACCAUCUCCAGGGACAACUCCCAGAGCACGGUCACGCUGCAGAUGAACAGCCUCAAGGAGGACGACACGGCCACCUACUACUGCGCCAAAGCUUCUGGUGCUUAUGCUGUUGAUGGUGGUAGCACCAACCCCAACCCCGUGUCCCCACAUCCCAGCCCUGGUUCACAGAAUCAGAACCGUCCAGGUUGA